rnacentral:lncRNA from 1 species
ACAUGCAUUGACUCAGGGGUUUGUGAAUACUUAUGUAAAUGUGAUAUUUCUGUAUUUAAUUUUUAAUAAAUUUGAUAACAUUUGUAAAGACAUGUUUUCACUUUGCCAUUGUAAGAUAUUGUGUGUCGAUGGGUGACAGAAAAAAAUAUUUAUUCAGGCUGUAACACUACAAAAUGUAGACUACGUCAACGGCUAUGAAUACUCUCUGAAGGCUCUGUAUUUCUAAACUCAUUAAAUCAUCAUUAUCGUCGUCAUGUCGUUAUAUCAUUAAAUACAAUACAUUCUUCAAAGUAACCAUGCGGUAAAUAUUGUAAGGAUUACUAAAGUACAAAUGUGUAUUAAAUUUACACUUAAUAUCAACUUCAUAAAUAAAAUGGUAAAUUUAGCUUGAUUUUGAAAAAAAAAGUGUUAAUUCAGUGGAUCAGAUAACGUCUAAAUUCAACAUUAAAUAAAUCAAUACAUUUCCCCACAUCAUAUGUCUUAUUCAUGCCUAGUUUAAAGGUCAACCACAGAGCCUAUUCUUUAAAAUAAAUAACCGAAGAUACAGUAUAACAGCGACUGAACCAAUACAGGUGAGUCAGCCAGGAGAAAAGACUGCAGUGAAACAGUACCAAGCAAACAACAAACAGCUACACUUCAAUAUAGUGUAAUGAUGAAUAAAUACGUUCAGAAAACUAUACAUUUACAGAGAGAUACUUCAGUACAGUAUUUCAAGAAAAAUACUUGUUUUGUUUACUUAAAAAAAAAAAAAAACGGUGUUUGUUUCAACCGUGUACCAGUGCUACAACAGUAGAGUAACGUCUCCUAAAUAAAAUAAGGCCACUGUAAACUGGACAAAGCCCUCAUUUUUUUACGAGAAUAUAAAUACACAUUUCCCCAUCAUCACCUUGCAGUCAUGGCUCCAUAACUCGUUCAUCUAAAAUUACUUUUCUCCCCUCAUUACAAAAAUAAAAUGGCAGUAUAAUACUCAUUAAAAGACAAUACAUUUGUAGUUGGUUUCAGACGUUAAUAAACCAGUCUCUCAGAACACUGAGAAAAGUUCUAGAACAUGUCUAAGUGAACAUUCUAGAAGAGAGCAAGCUCGUGGACGGUUACAUUUCAAGCAAAAAACAAAAACAAAACGAAACAAUGAAAUAAUCUCUAUAAAAAUGGCUCUUAUUUAACCACGAUAGGAGACAUCGUCAGUGUAUGAGGAUACAUUCACCACUUCACUGUGUAGUAUCUUAAAGCUGUGGCUAAACAGAUGCAGGAGAACAUAUCUGGCUCUUCAACAUUGACAAAGCAUAGCUGCGAAUAGUCAAUAUACCCAGUUCAUUCCACCUCCCUGCUCAGGUGCAUCAACAUUCCGUCACAUGCCAGCCACGCAAGAAAAUACAAGCAAACUACCUGUAAUUCCAUCCACUUUUUCCCCUUUCUGAUUGUCAGCCUCUCUUCUAUGUCUCUCACACACUUACAAACAUGCUUGUGAAGAUUCCCCUGGGUACAGAUCUAGGAUAAGCUUCCCAUCCCCUAAACCUAACCUUAACCAUUAGUGGGGGGAAAUGCAAAACUGAACCAAGAUCAGUGUCUAGGGGAAACUUCACCCUACUCCCCAUCAAUCCAUCUAGGGGGUGUGCUAGGGUCAUCCUUCUGACGAGGACUCAGCGUCAUGACCUCACCCAGCUCAACUCACUCACAAAGGCCAUCAUCCCCUUUCAGCAGAGCUGCUCGACCUGAUACAUAAAACUCUUUCCUUUAACAGUCCUGUUGCUUUACUUUAUAGUCCUGUAGUUUUACUUUACAGUCCUGUAGUUUUACUUUACAUCCUGUUUGCUUUACUUUACAGUCCUGUAGUUUUACUUUACAGUCCUGUUGCUUUACUUUACAGGCCUGUAGUUUUACUUUACAGUCCUGUAGUUUUACUUUACAGUCCUGUUGCUUUACUUUACAGUCCUGUAGUUUUACUUUACAGUCCUGUAGUUUUACUUUACAGUCCUGUUGCUUUACUUUACAGUCCUGUAGUUUUACUUUACAGUCCUGUUGCUUUACUUUACAGGCCUGUAGUUUUACUUUACAGUCCUGUAGUUUUACUUUACAGUCCUGUUGCUUUACUGUACAGUCCUGUAGUUUUACUUUACAGUCCUGUUGCUUAACUUAACAGUCCUGUUGCUUUACUUUACAGUCCUGUUGCUUCCCUUUACAAUCCUGUUGUUUCACCUAACAGUUCUGUUGCUUUGCCUUAGAGUCCUGUUGCUUCAUUUUACAAUCCUGUUGCUUUACUUUACAGUCCUGUUGCUUUACUUUACGGUCCUGUUGCUUAACUUAACAGUCAUGUUGCUUAACUUUACAGUCCUGUUGCUUUACUUUACAGUCCUGUAGUUUUACUUUACAGUCCUGUUGCUUUACUUUACAGUCCUGUUGCUUAACUUAACAGUCAUGUUGCUUAACUUUACAGUCCUGUUGCUUUACUUUACAGUCCUGUAGUUUUACUUUACAGUUAUGUUGCUUUACUUUACAGUCUUGUUUCUUCACUUUACAGUCCUGUUGCUUCCCUUUACAAUCCUGUUGUUUCACCUAACAGUUCUGUUGCUUUGCCUUAGAGUCCUGUUGCUUCAUUUUACAAUCCUGUUGCUUUACUUAACAGUCCUGUUGGUUCACUUUAACAGUUUUGGUGCUUUCCUUUAACAGUCCUGUUUCUAUACUUGACAGUCCUGUUGUUUAACCUAACAGUCAUGUUGCUUCACUUUACAGUCUGUAUGCUUUACUUUACAGUCCUGUUGCUUUACUUUACAGUCCUGUUGCUUCACUUUACAGUCAUGUUGCUUUACUUUACAGUCUUGUUGCUUUACUUUACAGUUAUGUUGUUUAACUUUACAGUCUUGUUUCUUCACUUUAACAGUCUUGGUGCUUUCAGUUAAGCCAGUUUUUCUGCAUGGUACUUAAUAAAUAAUAUUCAAAACAUUGGUGUUACUGGUACCAAAGAAACCCAACGGUUGGCCAUGUAAACGUAAGAAUAUACCAGGUGGACUGUAAAGUAAAGUGAACCAACGUAACAAUGCCUGACCACAUCUGCAACUCAGCAUAUAUCAAUGCUUGGGUUUUCUACUAACAGGUAAUUGUGCCACAACUCGAGUGAAGUAGAAUUUACAGGUGUCCCUAAUAACAAAUAACUACACAUUCUUCAAUAGCUGACAUAUGACCUUUGGCCCUUCUUUCUGACCUUUGAAUUAAUAAACAUUUCGCAAACCCUUCUUUCUGACCUUUGAAUUAAUAAACAUCACAUAGUUCAAGCAAUAUAUAUCAUCUCAAAGACAAAUCACACUACUACUACUAUACUUUUGGAGAAAAGCAAUAUGUCAACACUGCCUUGUUCCCUUUUGGUUCCAAUAAUGUCAUCCAUUUGGACGCACUGAGAAAACACCUUAUAUACUUAUGAAAAGGUACAGUCUCUUUAUAUUAGGGUACACAUAUAGUACCAGUCAACAGUUUGGACACACCUACUCAUUGCAGAAUUUUUAUUUUCUACAUUGUAUAAUAAUAUUUAAGACAUCAAAACUAUGAAAUAACACAUACGGGAAUCAUGUAGCAACCCAAAAAAGUGUUAAACAAAUCAAAAUAUAUAUAUUUUUUUAUAUUUGAGAUUCUUCAAAGUAGCCACCCUUUGCCUUGAUGGAAGCUUUGCACACACUUUUGACUUUUGACUGGUACUAUUUAUACAUUCAUACUCUUCCUCUUUUCAAACUUCUCAAGUUCUGCUGUGAAAAUGGUGUUAGCUACGAGCUACUCAAUAUAUAUAUUUAUAGGACCCAUACAACCUCAUACAAGUUCCCAAACAUGUCAAUCACAAAAUAUCAAUUAGCGAAAUUUCCAAUAGCUCAAUAGGACUAAAAAUCCAGCUGUUCUUCUUGUUCUCAUUUAUACAGUUAUAAAGUUAUUUCAAUAGAAGUUUAGUUGUUAAUACAUGCUUUGUCUUUUUCCUUUCCUUUUCUCUUUCCAAUAAACAUAUGUAUGUUUCUAUCAGCAGUCAGUCAUGCAUUUCGUUGAAGAAAACAAAUACAGAUACAUCAUGCCAGCUGUCCACGUAAUAUAUAUAUAUAUAAAUAAAGUACAUUUAAAACUACUUCAUAAACACGACAGUACAUUAUUCACUGAUUGAGAGAAAAAAAAGUGCUCCAUAGCCCUGACUAAAUAUAACAAUCAACACUAACAGGUAAAGUGCUGACAAAACUGUGGAGAUAAGACAUUUGAUAAGAAUUUCAAAUGCUAUUCUAGAACAGAGAUUAAAGUGUUCCGGAAUGUCUUUGUCUGU